rnacentral:lncRNA from 1 species
AUAUUGAUGAUGAAAUGUCUUACGAUGAUCAUUUAGAGGUUUAUUUUGAACAACUGGCAAUUCCAGGAAUGAUGGAAUAAAGCAUACGAAGUAGAAGGACUGGAACCUCCAGAAAAAGUACUUUAAGUUACCUACAGGUGAUCCUAGUCAGGUAUGAAUUGAUAAGAAAUGCCUGCACCUUCCCUCCUUCCUAUCUUUCCCUUGCCUACAGAAAAUUAAAAGGCAAAACAAUAGACAUCUGCAUAUUCUUCAUUCAGAUCAACCAGUGGCUAGCAUUUGCCACCUUUUGCAGUUUCUUUCUCUUUCCAUAAGUACUUUCUUCUCUGAAUCAUUUGAAAGCAAAUGAAAACAGUAGCCUAAAGUGUCAGUUUCAACCAGAAAAUAACAGCUCUGAUUUCUCAUGGCUCAUACUCGUCUGAAACGACUCAGGUAGAGGCUGAGGAAGGCCGUGUUGUUUGUCUACCUGGGACUACACCUACUGAAAGAAGUUCUCAAGUUCUGAUUGAGUUCUAAAAUUUUUUGAAGAUUGGAAUUCUUCAUAUGUAAAAAGAGAAGAGAAAGACAUUCUUGAUUUUGGUGACUAGAGUUGUAGAUGCUGGAAGCUUUGCCACUAACAUUGAUGAACCAGAUGCAUGUCACCAGCCCAUCACGGGCACCAUGGGCCCGGCACUGCCACGUUUUCCAAGGAACCUGCCGGAGCUCCUGCGGAAGCUGCUCCUCAGGCGAUGGAGUCCCUUCGCUGGUAGGCCCUUCUUCAGUCACCACAGGAUGCCUGCCAUUCAUGAACAAGAAGGAGAGGACGGGCUUUGAAUAAAAAACAGGAUCCAGGAAAUAUUUGUGAGGCCAUUUGGACUUCAGUGUGAAAUGGUGUUAAAAGAUGAAGUCAUUUAUUCAAGAAGUAAACCUCUGCCACCUGGACUGUGCGCAGACAUUUCAUUGAUUUUGUUUAAUAAACAUUUUCUGGCUU